CCUUGGGCAAGGCAGCUGUGCCGGCAGGGCCCGGGCGCUGUGCCGGCUCUGCCGGGCUGCCGGGGCUGCGGGACGGUCCCGCCGCGGCUGCGCUCACCACAGCCCGGCCCGCUCGGCUGCAGCUGGCCCAGCCGUGCGCCGUGGCUGGCGCUGCUCCUUGCCUGGCCCAGAGCCCUGUCCCGGUCAAGCGCAGCUGGAGGGAGCCUCCUGUCCCUGUAGAGCAGAGGAGAAAGCACCGGGCAGUUGGGUUUCUGGCAGUUGCCUUCUGCCAAGGAGCAGCAGUGGGACAGUUUUCCCAGACAGUUGAACGAAUAGGGCAGAGCUAAUUAGACAAGGAAUUGUUAGUUGAAUAGCCCCAGAACAUGUGGGGAUUUUUUUCUUUCUCACCCUGUUUGGGAGGAUGGGAGCUUUUGUCUUUCCUGAUAGAAGUACAGUUGCUGCCAAAGGAAACACACCCAAAGACCAAUAGUGACGCGGCCUUCUCUUUGCUUCCUUUCUUCUUCCCUCACUGCUACACAGUGCUCUCAUACCAGGACCUCACUGCUGCCUCACCUGAGGGUUUACAGCUGCCUCCAGGCCCUUCCAGGCUAAGUGCAGGUGCUCAGGAGUCUGACUUCUUCCUGACAUCUCCCAAGAAAGUCUUUGCCUCAUCUGGAUUUCUUGGGGUUUCAUCAGAGGAACCAGGCACCAGCAAAUUUCAUCUCAAGCGUCAGCUCAUCAUUCCGCUGGUUCCCAUAGACCGCAGAUGCCGCCCUGAGCUCACCGUUUCUCUGCGUCCCAUAGACCAUCACAGCCCUUCCAUGGCCUCUCCAGAGGGAAGCAGCUGCACAUCUUCAGAGCAGUAUUUGCCAGCCUGCAGUUCAUCAGCCACCCCAGGCACUUCAGGCCCCAGCGCUCCAGCUGGCAGUGCUGGUUUUGCACCAUGGACAGCCCCCAGCUGGCUGUGGAAUACUCCUGGGCAAGAGGAAUUGCCACCACCAGAUCUGGACAUGGUGCUUGAGACGCUGGAGGAGAUGUUUUCUCCCUCUGCUCAGGGGAAUAUUAAUGUUGCCCCUGAGUCUUCAGGAGGGCAGCCUGUGGACAGAGCUGAAGCAGAAGGAGCUUUGCCUGGCACCAGGAGGUGCGGGAACAAUUCCCAGGAGCCCGAAGAGCUUGAUUUCCACCUAAUCUACCUUGCCAGGAGGGCUGCCCUGCAUGAGAAAAAGGAUCGGAGGGAGAGCCUGUGACCAUCGGGCAGGUGGAAUCCCUCCAUUUAUACAUAGAUUUAUAGAUUUCCAUAGUUCUAUUUAUAUAUCCAUGUAGUUACAUUGAUUGAUUUAUACAAUCCUAUUUAUAUAUCCACAUAGUUAUAUUUGUAGGUUUAUAGAGGACAUAUAUAUAUAUAUAUACAUCUAUACAGUUAAAUCUAUAUAUAGUUUUUGAUGUGAUAGAAUUACAUUUAUGUGCAUGUAGUUACAUUUAUAGAUUUUAAAAUUUACAUUUAUAUACAUAUAGAGUAAUAAUAUAUUUUUAAUAUUUUUAUAUUUAUAAAUCUGCAUCGAUAUGUAGUUAGAGUUAUAUGGAUUUUUAGAUGGAUAGAUUGAUGUUAGUGUAGGUCUAGGCAGUAUUUUUACCUCUUUCCCCUCGGCUGCCUUUUUCACCUCUGGCUUUUCCCCCUGUGCCCCCUGUGUCCCCUCUCCCUGGGCUGGGUCCGAGCUGGCGGCCGGGCCGGGCGCAGCAGCAGUUCCUGCCCCGGAUGUCCCUGGAGCGCUGGGAGCUGCCGGUGGCCCCAGGCACUGUCCCCUGAGGAGCUG